rnacentral:ncRNA from 2 species
CGCUUCCGAGGAGCGUUGCGACGGCUUUCACCAGGCCGCCAGGCUCGGAGCAUUCAAUCCGGACGGUUCGAAAACGCGAUGAGCGUUCAUUGAUCCGCCGCAUCGAACGGCGCUCACGUCAA